rnacentral:rRNA from 1 species
GCAAAAGAAGUAGGUAGCUUAACCUCGGGAGGGCGCUUACCACUUUGUGAUUCAUGACUGGGGUGAAGUCGUAACAAGGUAACCGUAGGGGAACCUGCGGUUGGAUCACCUCCUUA